UAAAUGGAUGACGUUGUAGCGUUUCUGAAACGAAGAAAUCAAAACACUUACAGCACCGCGAACCGGACCCGAUCCGGCGGUUGGUGAAGCGGGUGCGUCCGGAAGAGGCGGAAGGUAGCGCCGACGACAUGGAUGCGGCUACCAGCUUGCUAUGUUUGAACUCGGCUUCUUCGGCCUUGGAGCCCGGCCACUGCUUGAUCAAUUCCUCAGCUAGGGCCCUCUGACUCCCUCCUCUUCUCUGCUCGGCUCAUUCAAUUUGAAUCUGUUCGUCAUUGCUCACCAGAUGUUUGAAGAAAAGACGCAACAAGCCUUACACCUGGUUGGUGUCUGGUUUCAAGCAACUGAAGCUGAGUGCUGUGGGUUUAUUCAGGAUACUGAAGUUGCUGGGAGUGGACUUCUAUAGAAUCAGGCAAAGGGAGCUCUGAUUUCAUAUCUGCGGUCAUUGUCAGUGACUCCUCUCAGACAGAAGAAGUGCUCAUUGCCAACAUACUUGCACAAGUUGCAAAGGAUCCUCGCCGAAUUUAUCCAAAGCACCGGAUCAUCCAGUGCUUCAACGAGCUUUUCGACGAUGUUCCUCUCUUUCAGAAUCCUGUAACAGUUGUUCUUGCUCUCCAAUGCCAUCAUCGCAAGCGCCUCCCCUGCUUCUACCUUCAAUGCCUUCUGCUGCUGGGUGUAUCCAUCCUUGAAGAAGAUCGACAGCAGCUCCUUAAUCAUCCCCCCUGUGUUGCCAAUCCUCUCCCUUGCCUCCUCGUUCAUUGCAAGGCUCGUUAGGAUCUCAAUUCCUAGCUUCUGAAGCA